CCGCUGCUAGCCAAGGUAGAGUUUCCAACCGUGGGCUUCCCUGCUUUGUCAAAUGACGCUGCCAGCUGGAUGCAAGAAAGGACUAAGGCACCGGUAAAUUCCUUUAUCGCUUGGUGUUGGCUGAGAGAUCCACAGAGUCCCAUUUCCAAAAUGCAAUUACCUGGAAAUUCUCUCCGAAAGUCACUCUGGUCUGUGCAGUCCUUACAUGUUCAAUUCGAGGGGGAGUCAUCAGCACUUCUACCUGUUGAGGGAAGGCCUUGGGAAUGGUGGCGAGGUGCCUGAAGGUGCAGUGGACCUCCUUAGUGCCUGGGCAGCUGCAGCUCCGCGGGCAGGAGGGAACGCCAUGGACCAGCUACGGCACACAUGAAGGACA